AUAAACAGUAUAGUGAAUUAUAUAAAUAAAAUAAUAAGUGUAGUGAAUUGUAUAAGUAAAAUAAUAGAAAGAUGGAAACAUUAUCUGGAUACAAUAUUUUACAUACGUUUCAAGAACUUGGUAUAGAUACUGGAAAUAUAACAAAAAAUGUUUUUGAAGCUUGGUUUGAUACCGAUGAUAUUGGAACAAUAUCGUUCUUAAAUUGGUUUUGCAGUUUAAAUAAAGAAAAUGUAUUAAAAUCAUCAGAAUAUGAAGAGUUUUUGCAUUUGAAACAUAAUCAUUUAAUAAUAGAAGGGGAAGAAUAUGAGCAAGCAAUUAAGGAUAUUCAAAUGGAAUAUGAUGAAAUUUGGAAUUGUGAUAGUAAUUGUUUUGAAAUUGAAUGUCUUAAUGAUGAAUUAGAUGCCUUGCAUGAAGAACAGCAAGCUCAAGAGAAUGUGUGCAAACUGCAAGAUACUUUAUCAAAGGACCUUCUAAAACAAAUUGCCAGUGAAAAAGAAAACGAAUUACAGUUAAUGAUUAUAUACAAAACAGCCCAAGAGAAAUGUCUUCAAUUAAGCAAUCAUCUGGAUGAAAUUCAUGAGAAAAUUCAUAUGCAAAUCUACAAAUACUCUGAUAUCAUAAACAAUUUUAAAAAUGUCCAAGCAUUUAUUUCAAAUAUCCCAUGGACAAACUACAAUCAAUGCAGUCAUGAAGUUUCUUCUAGUCUGAACUGUUAUAUUAAUAAAGAAUAUGAUUCAAAUAAGUGCAUUGGCACUACUAGAAAAAGUGUAAAAAGAAUAGGAGAGAACUACUCAUUUUUAACAAAGUCCUCCUUAGAGGAAUUGGAUGAUUUGCAUUUAUGUAUUUCAAAAGUAAUAAAAAACUUAAUAACAAAUUCAAUAGAGGAAUCAAAACUCAGAGCAGAAUUGAAAUAUCUGAAAACCCUAAAUUUAUAUGAAGCAAUUAGCUACUUUUGUGAUUCUGAAAGUAUACAGUUUAUGUUAGAAGACAAUAUUGCAACAAAAGAGGAGAGACUUGCUCAAAUUCUAAGUCAGAUAGAGCAAGCAUCAAAUGAAGUGGCAAGCAAAUUAACAAAUGAAGCUAAAAUAAAUCGCUUCAAGAAACAACUGGAGCGUAAUGAAAAAAAACUGAACUACGCCAAAACUAAAAUAAAUGAUAAGUUUCUGGAUAUCUUAACAAACCAAGAGCUUUGUUUGUUGCUUCUUAAGAAAGAAAAGCAUUUUAUGGAGACCACUGGACAAUUCUUUAGAGACAUAUCCCAGUAUGUUAUUAAUAAUAUGCAAAGUUGCCAAAAAAGAAUUGAAAUUAUGAUCGAUGUUAUUCUACAAUCGAACGAUUUCCGCCAGUUGCCCGUUGAACAUAAAUGCACGCUUAUUAGUAGCAUUGCCUCUAUUUUGUUAAAUGGUAAAAAUGACAAAAAUAAUCCAAUAAAGGUGAUCGCCGAUUUUAAAAAAAAUACAUCACUUUUGCACUACAACCUAUUCAAAAAUGAUAAUGUUAAUCACUUGAAAUCGUUUGAGUAUAUGUAAGCAAUAUCCAAUAUACAAAGAAAUUAGCUUAUUAAAAUCGUUUUUAAUGAGCUCUCCGACCACUUGUAUUGUCGUUAUUCCACCGGAAUUAUUUAGUGCAUUGCGGGAAGUAAAGCUAAACUUGGAAAAUCAGAAGAAAGCUGUUGCUAAAGGAUUAGAAAUUUAUAAUCACAAUACCAAUAUUCUAAACAAAAAUAAGUGGCUUCGGUUAAAAAGACAGUUAUGGCUAUAUUUUUUAUCUGAGCCAAGGAAGGUAUUGUCAGUCAUUGAAGAACUAAAGAAGGAAAUAGAAUCUGGUUCAGCUAUUUAAUUCCCUAUGCAUUAUUAAAUUUAAUUUAUUGUAAGUUUGCCAGUUUUAUUAUUAAAUAAUUUUUAUAAAUUUUGAAUUGCAAAGUUUUUUUAAACAACAGCAAAAAUCGCAUUAAUUUCAUUCCACAUGCAAAUUUAAUAGGAGGGGCAAAACGUUAAAUAUUACCCAUGUAUUUGUAUAUAAUGUACAUAGUACAAUACAAUGUGUGCUUAUUUUAUUCUAAAUAACUUGCCAAAUCCAGGCAAAUUUACAUAAUACAACUUAUUUUUAGCUUAUGUUUAUGAUCUGUAUAAUAGAAAAGGACAUAUGUUACAUCCAUAAUAAUCAUAUACACAAUUCAGUCAUAGCAUUACUUCAUCUGUAAUUAGGUUUCACCAAAAAUAUCUUUAAAUUUGUCGAUGCUGUUGUGAAAAAACUUCAAAUUUACAAGUGACCUUUUUAACUACACAUUUAUACAUCACAAUAAUGAUUUAAAAUCCUUAAUAGUAAAGGCAAGUUUGAGUGAAAGACUAGAGUAGAUAAGAGUAUGAAAGUCGUCCCCAUAUCAGUAAGUCGAAUUUUCUAAAAAAAAA
rnacentral:misc_RNA from 1 species